rnacentral:rRNA from 1 species
AGAGUUUGAUCAUGGCUCAGGAUGAACGCUAGCGGCAAGCUUAACACAUGCAAGUCGAGGGGUAUAGUAGCAAUACUAGAGACCGGCGCACGGGUGCGUAACGCGUAUGCAAUCUACCUUUUGCAGAGGGAUAGCCCAGAGAAAUUUGGAUUAAUACCUCAUAGUAUAUAGAGUUGGCAUCAACAUUAUAUUAAAGUCACAACGGCAAAAGAUGAGCAUGCGUCCCAUUAGCUAGUUGGUAAGGUAACGGCUUACCAAGGCAACGAUGGGUAGGGGUCCUGAGAGGGAGAUCCCCCACACUGGUACUGAGACACGGACCAGACUCCUACGGGAGGCAGCAGUGAGGAAUAUUGGACAAUGGGCGCAAGCCUGAUCCAGCCAUGCCGCGUGCAGGAUGACGGUCCUAUGGGAUUGUAAACUGCUUUUAUACGAGAAGAAACAUCCCGACGUGUCGGGACUUGACGGUAUCGUAAGAAUAAGGAUCGGCUAACUCCGUGCCAGCAGCCGCGGUAAUACGGAGGAUCCAAGCGUUAUCCGGAAUCCUUGGGUUUAAAGGGUCC